rnacentral:rRNA from 1 species
GCGUGCGUGAAGAAGGCCUUAGGGUUGUAAAGCGCUUUCACUGGUGAAGAUGAUGACGGUAGCCAGAGAAGAAGCCCCGGCUAACUCCGUGCCAGCAGCCGCGGUAAUACGGAGGGGGCAAGCGUUGUUCGGAAUUACUGGGCGUAAAGGGCGCGUAGGCGGACGUGCAAGUUAGGGGUGAAAGGCCUGGGCUCAACCUGGGAACUGCCUCUAAAACUGCAUAUCUCGAGUCCGGAAGAGGAUGGCGGAAUUCCCAGUGUAGAGGUGAAAUUCGU